rnacentral:rRNA from 1 species
CAGCCGCCGCGGGAAUACGUAGGGUGCGAGCGCUAAUCGGAAUUACUGGGCGUAAAGCGUGCGCAGGCGGUUAUAUAAGACAGAUGUGAAAUCCCCGGGCUCAACCUGGGACCUGCAUUUGUGACUGUAUAGCUAGAGUACGGUAGAGGGGGAUGGAAUUCCGCGUGUAGCAGUGAAAUGCGUAGAUAUGCGGAGGAACACCGAUGGCGAAGGCAAUCCCCUGGACCUGUACUGACGCUCAUGCACGAAAGCGUGGGGAGCAAACAGGAUUAGAUACCCGCGUAGUCCCUGUCUCUUAUAC